rnacentral:rRNA from 1 species
UACGGAGGGUGCAAGCGUUAUCCGGAUUCACUGGGUUUAAAGGGUGCGUAGGUGGGCAGGUAAGUCAGUGGUGAAAUCUCCGGGCUUAACCCGGAAACUGCCAUUGAUACUAUCUGUCUUGAAUACCGUGGAGGUGAGCGGAAUAUGUCAUGUAGCGGUGAAAUGCUUAGAUAUGACAUAGAACACCAAUUGCGAAGGCAGCUCACUACACGAAUAUUGACACUGAGGCACGAAAGCGUGGGAGUCAAACAGGAAUUAGAUUACCGGGGUAGUCCAAGCACCGAAUGAUCCUCCCUGCUACCGAU